rnacentral:misc_RNA from 2 species
CAACCCUCAGGGCCUCCCCUUCGCGGGGGACGGACCUGGCGUUGGGGAUCGGCACCGCCCCCGUGCGGCGCCGUCCCCCAAAUACAGUGGCGGUCCCGCCGCAGCCUCCCCUGCGUAGUAGAAUACACCUCGCACCGGAGCGCGGCGCGGCCUCGCCGUGAAACCCCCCACUUCUGAA